GCAGCAGCAGCAGCAGCAAAAGCCGCCAAGUACGGCGCGGCUGGUGUUGGAGGCCUGGUGCCCGGUGUUGGUGUCCCUGGUGUGGUGCCCGGUGUUGGCGGGAUCCCUGGUGUUCCUGGUGUGCCGGGCGUGGUGCCCGGUGUCGGCGGUGUCCCAGGAGUUGGAGUUGGAAUACCAGCGGGAGCGGCAGCAGCA